rnacentral:antisense_RNA from 1 species
UUCCACCACGCCGGCCACAAAUAGUGCCGAACAUCAAGGAGAGAGACAUACAACACCCUUCAGCAGAUCCCCUGGGAAGGAGGUGGGAAGAGACUUAAGUUAGAAGAAAACCCCGAUGUUUGGAAGAGAUUUCCAGAAAUAACCCGAAGAAAAUGUUUUCCUGUUUAUAAAUUCUGAAAUCUGUGGUCUCUUUAUUAAAAUAGCCAAGGCUUUUAUAUAGGUAUUAUGAUAUAGAAGCGUCAUUAAAUAAUAUUUUCUUACAUGGGGACGUGACCUUAAUUCUUAAAGAUAUUAAUGUAUAAUAUUACUGAGGUACCAACACAAUAGGCUUUAAUUAAAAUUCCACCCGUGUUUUCAAAAGUAGGGGGUGGAGAAAGCGGGGUGAAAAGAAUCAUGUCUCAGCACCUGAAGGCUUGGGUAUGUAAGGAACUAAUGUGAGGAAGGUGUUCUAGAUGUCAGGUUAACCCAUUAGCCUAGAACACUGAAACCCUCUAACAGAGGAAGUCUGCGUAAGUUCAAAGGCAUUAAAGCACUAAUGUUACCGGGUACUCCCUUUUUCUUCAAAGG